rnacentral:rRNA from 1 species
AGCGAACGCUGGCGGCAGGCCUAACACAUGCAAGUCGAACGAGCUCUUCGGAGCUAGUGGCGGACGGGUGAGUAACACGUGGGAACGUGCCCUUAGGUACGGAAUAACGCAGAGAAAUUUGCGCUAAUACCGUAUGUGCCCUUCGGGGGAAAGAUUUAUCGCCUUUGGAGCGGCCCGCGUCUGAUUAGCUAGUUGGUGAGGUAAUGGCUCACCAAGGCUACGAUCAGUAGCUGGUCUGAGAGGAUGACCAGCCACACUGGGACUGAGACACGGGCCAGACUCCUACGGGAGGCAUCAGUGGGGAAUCUUGCGCAAUGGGCGAAAGCCUGACGCAGCCAUGCCGCGUGAGUGAUGAAGGCCUUCGGGUUGUAAAGCUCUUUCGCACACGACGAUGAUGACGGUAGUGUGAGAAGAAGCCCCGGCUAACUUCGUGCCAGCCGCCGCAGUAAUAC